GGAAAGGACCAUAGCUCAGUUGUAGAGCAUCUGCUUUGCAUGCAAAAGUUCCCAGGUUCAACUUGGGCAUUUCCA